rnacentral:rRNA from 1 species
GUGUCAGCCGCCGCGGUAAGACAGAGGAGCCAAGCGUUGUCCGGAAUUACUGGGCGUAAAGGGCUCGUAGGCGGCUGGCUAAGUCAUACGUGAAAUCCCUCGGCUUAACCGGGGAACUGCGUCUGAUACUGGAUGGCUUGAGUUUGGGAGAGGGAUGCGGAAUUCCAGGUGUAGCGGUGAAAUGCGUAGAUAUCUGGAGGAACACCUGUGGCGAAAGCGGCGCACUGGACCACAACUGACGCUGAGGCGCGAAAGCUAGGGGAGCAAACAGGAUUAGAUACCCUGGUAGUCCUAGCCCUAAACGAUGGAUGCUUGGUGUAGCCGGUACCCAAUCCGGCUGUGCCGCAGCUAACGCGAUAAGCAUCCCGCCUGGGGAGUACGGUCGCAAGGCUGAAACUCAAAGGAAUUGGCGG